AAGGAGCUUCCCCGACUCCCUGCACAGUGGUGGAAGAGGGCAAUUUUCAAGUGGUGACUCCAAUGUCCACGCACUCCAAGAUAGAAACCGAGGAGUCACUUCCAUGCAAUCCAAGAUGCCAAUCGUGGAUUUCGACAACGAGAGAUCGGUGAUUCUGCCAUGCAGGCCGGGUAUCGGCCUCCAGUCAAUUCAAGAAGGCAUUUUGUUCAGAGCCAAUCAUAUGUGUCUCGCGCAUUAUGUGGACUGGAAAUCCAAUUGAUGGCUGUGCAAUCUUUUGGCGUGCUUCAAGGUUCAAGUUGCUUCAGGAAGAAUGCAUUGAGUUCAAUAAGCUGGGG